rnacentral:tRNA from 1 species
GCCUUCGUAGUGUAGUGGUUAUCACCCUCGGCAGAUAUUCGAGAGGUCCUUGGUUCGAGUCCCGUUGAGGGCA